rnacentral:rRNA from 1 species
CAGCAGCCGCGGUAACACGAAGGGUGCAAGCGUUAAUCGGAAUUACUGGGCGUAAAGCGUGCGUAGGCGGUUUGUUAAGUCUGCUGUGAAAUCCCCGGGCUCAACCUGGGAAUGGCAGUGGAUACUGGCAAGCUAGAGUGUGUCAGAGGAUGGUGGAAUUCCCGGUGUAGCGGUGAAAUGCGUAGAGAUCGGGAGGAACAUCAGUGGCGAAGGCGGCCAUCUGGGACAACACUGACGCUGAGGCACGAAAGCGUGGGGAGCAAACAGGAUUAGAUACCCCCGUAGUCCCUGUCUCUUAUAC